CCCCCCCACCUUGGCAGGGACACCUUCCACUAGACCAGAUCAGCUGAGGCAGAGGCUGUAAGAUUUUUGGUAUUCCUGCAAAACUGAACAUCCUGGGAUUUGUUGUCCACACCCUUUGUUUAUGCUGUCUUUUCUAGCAGCUUCUCAGUGGCACCUAGUGACCCAAACCCAAGCCUGAGCCAACCAACUGAAAAAUGAAUACACAUGCACCAUGAGUCUUUGAUGUGCAUACAUGUGAAGAGAGAGAGUCC